CUGCACCCUCAGGCUCUUCUGUCUGUGGGAGUCAUUUCACCCUUCCUGGGGAACAGAUACAUCGCUGAGCUAUUUCGUGUUAUUUUUCAACCUAAUGAAUACCACACACAUGACUUGCGAAUGUGCGCGGUGCUAGCGGAUGAAUCUCAGAAAAGGAGUCCAUUUCAGGAAGAUUAAGGAUAAAGAAGGCGCAGACAAAAGAGAAAGGAGAAAAGGUUGACCGUACCAAGAGGAGGGAAGAGACUCCUGCUGACCUUUGUUACAAGGACAAUGAGAAACAAGAAGCACCCACCACAAGGGCGCAGAGACAUGGGCAAGAAAUUCAUUUUGUAUCAAGGGCCAAUACCUGUUUCCACAAGAAAAAAUGUUCACAGGAAAACAUGGUGAGUAGGACUGCAGAAAUCUUGCUGGGGAGCAAUGGAAAGAGGGACACGUUA
rnacentral:lncRNA from 1 species